rnacentral:snoRNA from 1 species
UUCAAUACAUAUUUUCACUUCCGGAGUACCAGCAAGACUAAUUUGCAUCUAUUUAGUUAAGCACAAAUGGCUGGAAGGAGAUUGAUAUAAUUUAAAAUUUCCAUCUUUAAAUCCAAAUCAUUAGUAUUUAUAUAUUUAAUAUUUACAAUUAAAUGAAUUGGUUCGCUUGAUGGAUACAUUC